CUCCCAGUUUGGUGAAGCUCCCCAUGUGAUCCAUUCUUCCCCCUAAAUAAAGUUGAAAAAUUUGGCUGGGAUCAGAGAGUGCUGCUGAGGUAGCUGGUGUGUGCAGCUAUUCCACCCUCCCCAAGUCUGCAGCACGAAUAACGCGCCUGUUCAGCACUAUCUGCCUCUCGGUUGUGAAGACCAAGGGGGACGAGAGCGGGCACUUAACAGGGUGUCGGGCUACCUCCACGAUGGGGCUUCGCCGUGGGCUCUCAGCCUUGCCACCCCCGGGCAGCCUCCCCUUGUGAAAGUAGCCCGGCGGGCUGAGGAAGAUGUGGCCGGAGAAGGUCAUUUUUCCAGACUCCAGCUUUGCAAAUCAGUGAGGACGUCUCCUAAACUCCAGCAUAACAAGAACAAAAACCCCAAACCAAAAUCUUCUCCAGACAAGCCAAGUCUGAGAGCAAGUAUCAAAGAAGAGGGGAAAAUAAAAACCCUUCAUUAAAAUGAGAGAUCCUGUUUUGUAGCUGAUUUUGUUAAUGCCUAUGAUGUUAGCAAAACCAAACCUGCCCCUCGGUAAAAAAUCUGCCUUUGAUUUCACUCUCUUUUGGGAAUACUUGAGGGAGGAAAAAACUCUCACUGAACAAAUUCAUAAGAUAUAAACUGCACUUAUUGCAGUGCUCACUUUUGUUUUAAGCCUGAGGAUGAGCCCUGCCACCACAAUGUUCCUGGAAAAUUGAUUUCAUUUUCUUCAAUUAUCUGCUCAAGAAAACAAAGAAUCAAACCGGCAGUCAGCUAAGCAGCUUUUUCCCCUCUAGAUAGAGAGGGCAACAGUACACACGAGUUUCUGGCUUACACGCUGUUUGGAUAUAGAUGACCUGCAUUGUAAACUUUGUGACACAUCCUGUUAUUCCUAUGCUGCAUGGCUUCAUAAACGAACAAAGCUGCUGAGCCUCCUCUAUGCCUGGAGCACCCAGGGAAACACUGUCUUAUGAAUGACACGGGUGACAAGGGAAUCGCAGCUCUUGCUUCUUCCAAAGUUUUGACCGAGUGAGAACCACUACUGAAUCCCAAUGAGGCCCAAAUUCAAAGAAGUUCCUGUACCCGCACUUUUGGCCUCAACAGAAUAUGAAAACUUUACUAAACUAAACACAACAAGAGACAUGGAAACUAAGCAGCUAGAGGGGUCCCUCUCAUCUACUAUUGCACUGAUAAUAGUGCUGAUUAUUAUUUUCUCUUUGAUAAUGACAUCCCUACUAACCUACUGUUUUCACAAGUGGAAACUAAGAGGUAAAAAACUGCAGAAAGCACAAGAGGAGUAUCAGAAAGACCAUGAAAAGAGCAUUUUUCAAAGCACGUCUGGACUUGUUUCAUAAAAAAUGGAUCCAACAUGGAACAGCCUUGCAUUGCUGGAAAAUGAAAAUAAUAAAAGAAUGGCAACUAUGAAAUUCCCAAACAAAUAUAUCUUGUUUUAUCUCAUUUAUAAGAGGUGUUAGCAGUUUGGAGAUUUCCUACAGCUUUAUUAUACAUAUAUAUUAUAUAUAUAUAUAUAUAUAUAUAUAUUCAGUCUCAUUUGUGCAAGGUAAAAAAUCAACACAACCAUGUAUUUUUAAUCUUUACUGUAUUACUAGAACAGUAACCUAAAAUCUGUUGCUCCAGCUCUUUCAAAAAUCCACUGAUCUGUGGAAGGCAAAGGGUCACAUUUUGAUGAGUGCAGACCAACACAGAUGAUGAUAACCAAUGGAGCUAUGUUGUCUCGCACUAAUCCAAUUACCCGUCCGAAGAUUUUGAAAUGCAACUGGAGUCCUACGUAAAUCAGAUUCACAGAGUUUCAGCAAGUAGUAGCCUGACCCUGCAAGCCUUUAGCUGAAGAACUCAUGUCUUCAGCAACAGCUCAAUCAUGCAGGAUCAAGCUCUAAAUUUGCUAACAGGUUGUAAGUCAAUGCUUCUCUUGCAUAAGGUUCAGUGCUGAGAGGUGCUAGUGGCAUUCCCACUGUAAGUGGAUUAAGGACAUUCAACGACACAGAAUGGGACCUAAGUUAAAGGGAAGAGCAAGCCUAAUACACCUUUUUAACUUGGCUUGUAAUUAUUUUUAACCAACCAUACAAUGGUGUGUUUCUAUUUUCAUAGCCUGUAUUAUUAUGUCAUAGAAAAAUGACAGCUCAAUUGUGUGUAGCAUAUAUACGUAAUAUUUUCUAACAAAGUGUUGGCUGCAAUAUUAAUAUAAGUAAUUGUUUGAAAAGUAGAAAACAUGUAAAUUUACAAACAAAACCCUGCUCAAGUAUAUAGCUUGCUUGCAACUACCAUUAAAGCUGUAUGUAUUUUUAAACAAGCUAUAAUACUGUGAUGAUGGUGUAAACUUACUUCUGUAGGCAAAAAAAAUGUUCUAUUUAAAAGUGUCAAGAAAAUGAAGGAUCUAAAUGUUCUUAAAGUGCUAUGAACUAAAAAUAUGAAUUUUCGCAGAAUAUUCUAAAGGACUCUGUUACAUGCUAUAAAUAUAUUUUACAACAUAUUUAUGAAUCAUACACACUAUUCUAUGUGAGAACAAACAGUACUAUUUUAUUACAAAAUAAAUAAAUAAGCUAUGAAUAUCCAUGCCCAAAAGCUGGAUAAUGGUUUUUCUAAGUUCCCCUGAUCAACUCUAUAGGCAAUUUGAAAGAUAAAGGACCUGCUACCUUACUGACAAAAGGGAUACACUCCCCCCUCAUUUCCCAGCCUGCCCCCAUAUAGAUCAUGUUGCUGUUUGUUCAGGCAAAGAUCUCCAGAGUCACAGUUGUGCUGGAAAAAGGAACAGUUUGCCAGUUGAAUACAAACAAUGCAAAUGUAGUGUUCAUAAGAUUAAUACAGGUAUUCACAAAAUUUAAAGUUUUUUCUCUCUCUAAAAAAAAAGUUGCAUUUAGAACAGCACCUCUGUUGCAUGCAGUAACACUAUGCACAUAGUAUAGCAUCUAGGUUAGUUUUUAUUGAGUGGAGACAAAACGUCAUCUUUGAAAAUCAUACUGAGUAGUAAAAAAGUUACAAUUUGUAGAAUGCAAGUAUAUUUCAAAAUGCUUUAAGAAAUACAUAGCCAGAAGCAUUCCAGUAUUGCUGGUACCUGCAUAUAUGAUUCAGAAUCAUUGCACUGAAAUCAACAGUUCAGAUUUGCACUGAAGAAGAACCUGGGCGCUGUCAGCUAACAGCUUCACAGGGGGGCACCAUCCCUGCUUCCAGCAGGAAAACUGCAUCCUCAGUGCCACUAGUUCAAAGCUUUUGUCAAGAUCUCAGGAAGCAUAAAUGGGUUCAGCUCCACUUCUUGGAAGUUGAUCAAAUUGGCUGUAGUAAAUUUUCUUUUUUUUUUUUUGGCCACAAUAAAACUAUGGUUGGGAAAGGGAUUUAUGAAAAGGCAGUGGCCCCAAGGGAGCCUCGAGCACCUCACUCUCCUAGUGAGGCUUCAGAGGAAAGAUUCAAGAUUGUUACAAGGAUUACUGGACCAGGGAGAAUUAUGUACUUCACUGGUGUUUGGAAACUGGUUAUCCAGACAUGUUCAUCUUUGUGCCCAGUUCAUAACCAGGCAAGUUAAUUGUGAUAAAGCAUCACUCUCAUUCAAACACAUGCUAGUAACCUAUUCUGAAUGAGAUGGAAGUUUAUCCUAGGGCAGAAAGAAACACAAAUUCCAGCGUCAUAACAGGUGGCUAGAAACAAGAUUGAGUCUGGAAGCCAGGUUAACUGCUUCCAUAGAGAAAGCCGGGGCAAGCGAAAGCAGAAAUUAUACUGCCACAGUCCAUGGGAAACUGAUUUUAAUGGUAAUUUGAGGAAUAUAAUUUUCUCCAAACGGUCAAUAAUAAAGUAUAACAUCACCAAACCUGUUCUCAGUGUACAUGUAAUUUAAACAAUGUAUAUAUGAAAAACCCUUCUGUAUUUGUGCAGAGCUCAGAGCAAUAAACUCUAAUACAUCGCAAAUCA